ensembl:snRNA U6 U6 spliceosomal RNA
GUGCUUGCUUUGGCAGCACAUAGACUAAAAUUGGAACAUUACAGAGUAGAUUAGCAUGGCCCCUGCACGAGGAUGACACGCAAAUUCGUGAUGCAUUCUGUAUUUUU